rnacentral:lncRNA from 1 species
UAAGUCACUGGUUUGCAUUUCAUGUUAAACAUAAAAAGAGAUGUUUAUCCUUUACACUGAAGGCAAAAAGAGAGAACUAUAACCAAUUAAGUAGCAUCUAUCCAACCAAAAGAAGAGGAGAAACCUAUCCCUAGAGUAUCUGUUUAAAGGAAGAUUCCUGGAGUAUCCAGAUUGCAGUGAAACCUAUCAUCAUAAGUUUUUCUGAUAUAAUAGAGAGAACUCAUCUAGAUUGCAUGGGAUUUGUACAUAAAAACAGCAGAUCGAUUGUGGAUUGGAACCGGCGAAUUUCAAAUAGGUAAUUAUCAAGAGAAUCGGCUCAGGUAUGUUAAGGCUAUCCCUUCCUUCCUUUUUUGGCAUGAUCCAAAUUAUACAGAAGAAACGGGCAAACAUACAAUUUUCAUAAACGACUCUGUUCAUAGCAAUACUAGGGGUCUCUGUGUUCUUGAUUCCCCAUGUGACAUAUUAUUAUAUCUUUUGUUCAUGGGUCUCAGAAUAAUACGCAGUUGAUAAAGUUUAUUCGAAAGGAAUAUUGAGAUUAUUACAUAUUUUCAUGCAUUUCAUUCAUUUAUCAUGUACAUUGACCUAUGAUCAGAUGGCGUUAUAUACGCGUAUUUAUAUGUACAUAUAUGUAUAUGGAAUAUAGGAAAAAGGUUACAGCGUUAUAUACGUACCACCACCUGAUCAGCUGGUAUACGUUAAUGAUUUUGCCUACAGUGAUCGAGAUGAUAUGAUGGGAUGCCCUUAGAGACUUGAUGAUGUUUUGAACACAUGUACUUAUGCACGGCAUGACAUUCAUACGCAUAUGCAUGACACUAUAAUUAUUUCAUGAUUUACAGAGUUAUCCAGACUUACAAGUUGAGUCCUUUACUUCACGUUUCUACCAUGCUUCUUAUGUAUUUAUUUACAUGCCUUACACACUCAGUACAUUAUUCGUACUGACUUACUUUUGUUGAGGACACUACAUUCAUGCCUGCAGGUAUAGACAAUCAGUUUGACGAGCCCUCAUAGUAGACGAGGUUAGCAUUCAGCGAAGAAUCGGUAAGACUCCACCACAUUAGCAGUGCAACUGGGUCUAUAAAUCAUCGUGUCAGAGUUUUGCUACAGACUUAUGAGUAGGUCGGUACCCUGUCCCUUUUUAUGUCAAAUAAUCUUAGAGUCUUUGUAGACACAGGUUUAUUAUGUACAGUAUAUCAAUGUGUGAGGCCUUGACGGCCCAUAUGUAUUCAUGUUUUGUGAAUGAUGGUUCAUUGAUAUAACGUUUUCCCACUUACAG